rnacentral:rRNA from 1 species
AUACGGAGGAUCCGAGCGUUAUCCGGAUUUAUUGGGUUUAAAGGGUGCUCAGGCGGGGGAUUAAGUCGGCGGUGAAAUUUUGCAGCUCAACUGUAAAAGUGCCUUCGAAACUGGUUUCCUUGAGUGUGGAUGAGGUAGGCGGAAUUUGUGGUGUAGCGGUGAAAUGCAUAGAUAUCACGAGGAACUCCGAUUGCGCAGGCAGCUUACUAAACCAUAACUGACGCUCAAGCACGAAGGCGUGGGGAUCAAACAGGAUUAGAUACCCUGGUAGUCCACGCAGUAAACGAUGAUUACUGGCUGUUUGCGAUAUAAUGUAAGCGGCUGAGCGAAAGCGUUAAGUAAUCCACCUGGGGAGUACGCUCGCAAGAAUGAAACUCAAAUGAAUUGACGGGG